UUUAAAAAUGCUCCAAUCAUAUUAAAAGGUAUUCCAUAUUAUUUGUCUAAUCAUAAAGAUUCCAAAAAGGUAUAAUGUGGACUGUCUAUGGCUGAAUGUUCUGGAGCUAUGGAGUAAAAACAGCAAAAAUGGUGACAAAUAUCAGUUUCAGUUUAUACAGGGGUUGAAAAUUAAAGUUGCUCCAAUUUCAGCAACAAAUGAGGCAAGUUAUUGGUUGAAAUAAAA